rnacentral:other from 1 species
AUAGAACUUAAGUAUUUGUAUGGCUCAUGUUUAUUCGGGCCUAACACUUUUAAAUAGGGAAUGAGAAUUAUCUGCUAGUAUAGCGUGCCUAACCAUUAUUGUUAGGAUUUUAGAAGACAGAACUAUCAUACCCACCUGAUCAUAUCAGGACCAAUUUUUGUGAGAUUCUACGAUACUUCGGUCUGCCU